rnacentral:rRNA from 1 species
AGUAAUGCGACGGUAACCAACCCCGGAAAUGGGUAUAGCCGCGGGGAAACUGCGGGUAAUCCCCAGCGACGUGUCGGGUCGGCAUCGACCUGACACCAAAGCUCCGGCGUUCCGGGACGGGCCGUUGUGGUAUUAGCUAGUUGGCGGGGUAACGGCCCACCAAGGCUGCGAUGCCUACCGGGCGUGCGAGCGUGGCCCGGCACACUGGGACUGAGACACUGCCCAGACUCCUACGGGAGGCUGCAGUCGAGAAUCUUCGGCAAUGGGCGCAAGCCUGACCGAGCGACGCCGCGUGGAGGACGAAGGCCUUCGGGUUGUAAACUCCUGUCGAGGGGGAGGAAGGCGUAAGCUUGACCGAUCCCUGGAGGAAGCACGGGCUAAGUUCGUGCCAGCAGCCGCGGUAAGACGAACCGUGCGAACGUUAUUCGGAAUCACUGGG